UGGGGAAUUUUGGACAAUGGGGGAAACCCUGAUCCAGCCAUCCCGCGUGUGCGAUGAAGGCCUUCGGGUUGUAAAGCACUUUUGGCAGGAAAGAAACGUUAUGGAUGAAUACCCCGUGAAACGCACGGUACCUCCAGAAUAAGCACCGGCCAACAACGUGCCAGCAGCCGCGGUAAUACGUAGGGUGCAAGCGUUAAUCGGACUUACUGGGCGUAAAGCGUGCGCAGGCGGUUCGGAAAGAAAGAUGUGAAAUCCCAGAGCUCAACGUUGGAACUGGAUUUUUAUCUACCGGGCUUGAGUGUGUGAGAGGGGGGUGGAAUUCCGCGUGUAGCAGUGAAAUGCGUAGAUAUGCGGAGGAACACCGAUGGCGAAGGCAGCCUCCUGGGAUAACACUGACGCUCAUGCACGAAAGCGUGGGGAGCAAACAGG
rnacentral:rRNA from 1 species